rnacentral:lncRNA from 1 species
AUCGCCGGAAUCCACUUCCGGUCCGUUCAAACGCGGUGGGCCCGGGAGGAGAGUCGGGGCUCCAGGACGUGGGGAGUGGUUUUCGGCCCGGGGACCUGGCCGGCAGCGCCCCCUUCAGUCUUUUCCUACGGGCGGAGGCGCGUUUGCGCCCUUGGGGAACCGUCUGGAAUCCUGCUUCCGGCGCGGAAGCCUCAUGGAGCCCGAGAGGGGAAGGACCGGGGCGCUCCUCCAGAAGGGCCGGAAGAGGAGGCGCGCCCCGGGCAAGCACGUCGGGGCGGCCGAGGCGCGGAGAGCCCGCUCGGAACCUGAGGAGAGGCGGCCCGGAGCCAAGAUAAAGCCUCGAGUAUAUCAAGAUCAGUGA